AAUUCGACACCAAAUUUUGGAACUUAAAAAGAAGAUUCUUAAAACUUACAAUCCAGAUUACGAUGAGGACCUGGUGCAGGAAGCUUCAUCUGAAGAUGUCCUGGGCGUUCAUAUGGUGGACAAAGACACAGAGAGAGACAGUACGUAUUCUGGAAUCACCCCUAUGCUGAGGAAAAAUUCUAGUGUUGACAAAGGUGACACUUUCUUGCCUCAUUUUUUCUGGAGAGCCACUCUGGUUUGAACUUCCUGCCAGAAAUGUGGUUCAAGCACUUUUGUCUUGACAAGUGAAGAACCUGGUCAAGAAAUGUGACCGUUGACUCUGGUGCUUGGAAGGAACAGGGUCAUUUGGAUAGAAGAGGGUGUUGUGAAUCAGAGUUGGGAGGUAUGGAGGAAUGAGUCAAUGUGGAAUGAUUGUGAAUGUCUCUGCGAGUUUGUGUGCUUUUCCCCAGAAAAUACAUUCCCAUAUGCAAAGCACAACACAAAGAUUGAUAUUCUAGAAACAAAAUUUGAUCACCACUGCAUUUUUGCAAAAAAUCAACCCA
rnacentral:sRNA from 1 species